UUGUUUUCGAUGAUAGGACAUCCGAUUCGACGAUCGGCUCCGUUAGGUAUAAUCUGCCAUAUUGGAACUAUCUAGAAACCAAAUUUUAUAAUUUUUUGACAUCAUUUACUAAGCGAUCAAAAGGUCCAUUAGAUAUGAUCUACACUAUUGGAACUAUCUAGAAACCAAAUUUUAUAAUUUUUUGACAUCAUUUACUAAGCGAUCAAAAGGUCCCAAAAAUGACUAUUUUAACGGCCGAUGCGGCACGUUUUUAAGUUCAACGGUGUAGAAGUAUCCAAAUUACAUGAAAAUUUAAUAGAAAAUUCUACUUAACAUCAAUAGCAAGAUCAAUACUUCCGAUUUGAAAUUUGAGUCCUUUAUCAUCAUUUUUUAUGAGAUUUUUAUUUUUAGCCAUUCAUNGAAUGAGAAAAAGUACUCGUUGCAAAGUUAUACUGUUAUGGCGCAACUGAGCAGUCUAAUGUUGUUCCGAUUUUGGUUCUUGUGAACGUUGACAUCGAUUCGUUCCAAAUUUACACUCUCGGGGCAUAACAGAACAAUAUAAUUAGGUUUUGCACUUUGUUCGAUUGAAUGAGAAAAAGUACUAGUUCCAAAGUUAUACUGUUAGGGCUCAACUAAGUAGUCUAACUGUAAGGUACCGGACUUCUAAAAUAAUGAAGUUAUGGUUUAUAUGAGGUUGGAAAGCCAAUUGAAUCGUCUCGGUGAAGUUCGGUGAAGUUCGGAAGUAAUCGGGCGUUUCGGUGCG
rnacentral:lncRNA from 1 species